rnacentral:rRNA from 1 species
GAUGAACGCUAGCGGCAGGCCUAACACAUGCAAGUCGAACGGUAACAGGGAUUGCUUGCAAUCCGCUGACGAGUGGCGCACGGGUGCGUAACGCGUAUACAAUCUACCUUUUACUGGGGGAUAGCCUUUAGAAAUGAAGAAUAAUACCCCAUAGUAAGUAGUUUUCGCAUGUUAACUACUUUAAAGAUUUAUUGGUAAAAGAUGAGUAUGCGUCCUAUUAGCUAGAUGGUGUGGUAACGGCACACCAUGGCAACGAUAGGUAGGGGCCCUGAGAGGGGGAUCCCCCACACUGGUACUGAGACACGGACCAGACUCCUACGGGAGGCAGCAGUGAGGAAUAUUGGACAAUGGAGGCAACUCUGAUCCAGCCAUGCCGCGUGCAGGAAGACUGCCCUAUGGGUUGUAAACUGCUUUUAUACAGGAAGAAACCUCCCUACGUGUAGGGAGCUGACGGUACUGUAAGAAUAAGGAUCGGCUAACUCCG